rnacentral:rRNA from 1 species
AUUGAACGCUGGCGGCAGGCCUAACACAUGCAAGUCGAGCGGAUGAAGGGAGCUUGCUCCUGGAUUCAGCGGCGGACGGGUGAGUAAUGCCUAGGAAUCUGCCUGGUAGUGGGGGAUAACGUCCGGAAACGGGCGCUAAUACCGCAUACGUCCUGAGGGAGAAAGUGGGGGGUCUUCGGACCUCACGCUAUCAGAUGAGCCUAGGUCGGAUUAGCUAGUUGGUGGGGUAAAGGCCUACCAAGGCGACGAUCCGUAACUGGUCUGAGAGGAUGAUCAGUCACACUGGAACUGAGACACGGUCCAGACUCCUACGGGAGGCAGCAGUGGGGAAUAUUGGACGAUGGGCGAAAGCCUGAUCCAGCCAUGCCGCGUGUGUGAAGAAGGUCUUCGGAUUGUAAAGCACUUUAAGUUGGGAGGAAGGGCAGUAAGUUAAUACCUUGCUGUUUUGACGGUACCAACAGAAUAAGCACCGGCUAACUUCGUG